AGAGUUUGAUCAUGGCUCAGAACGAACGCUGGCGGCGUGGAUAAGACAUGCAAGUCGAACGCUAAUUUCAGGGUAGCAAUAUUCUGAAGUUGGAGUGGCGCAAGGGUGCGUAACACGUGGGUAAUUUGCCGUGAAGUUGGGGAUAACUCGCUGAAAGGCGAGCUAAUACCGAAUGUGAAAACCGGGGGGCAUCCCCUGGUUUUUGAAGUUGGGGACCGCAAGGCCUGACGCUUCACGAUAAGCCCGCGGCCUAUCAGCUAGUUGGUGAGGUAACGGCCCACCAAGGCUAAGACGGGUAGCUGGUCUGAGAGGACGACCAGUCACACUGGAACUGAGACACGGUCCAGACACCUACGGGUGGCAGCAGUCGAGAAUUUUUCUCAAUGGGCGAAAGCCUGAAGGAGCGACGCCGCGUGGGGGAUGAAGGGCUUCGGCCCGUAAACCCCUGUCAUUUGCGAACAAACCUUACGAUCUAAUAAGUCGUGAGCUGAUUGUAGCGAAAGAGGAAGGGACGGCUAACUCUGUGCCAGCAGCCGCGGUAAUACAGAGGUCCCAAGCGUUGUUCGGAUUCACUGGGCGUAAAGGGUGCGUAGGUGGCGGGAUAAGUUUGAUGUGAAAUCUCCGGGCUUAACCCGGAAACUGCAUUGAAUACUAUUCUGCUCGAGGGUUGGAAGGGGGACUGGAAUACUUGGUGUAGCAGUGAAAUGCGUAGAUAUCAAGUGGAACACCAGUGGCGAAGGCGAGUCCCUGGACAACUCCUGACACUGAGGCACGAAAGCUAGGGGAGCAAACAGGAUUAGAUACCCUAGUAGUCC
rnacentral:rRNA from 1 species